UGGGACAUGGUGCAGCGGCAAGCACGGCGAUCUCCAAAAUCGCAGACCGAGGUUCGAUUCCUCGUGGCUCAG
rnacentral:tRNA from 1 species